rnacentral:rRNA from 1 species
UACAGAGGUCUCAAGCGUUGUUCGGAUUCAUUGGGCGUAAAGGGUGCGUAGGUGGCGCCGUAAGUCAGGUGUGAAAUCUCGGGGCUCAACCCCGAAACUGCAUUUGAUACUGCGGUGCUCGAGUACUGGAGAGGAGAUUGGAAUUUACGGUGUAGCAGUGAAAUGCGUAGAUAUCGUAAGGAAGACCAGUGGCGAAGGCGAAUCUCUGGACAGUUACUGACGCUGAGGAGCGAAAGCGUGGGGAGCGAACAGG